UGGGGAAUUUUGGACAAUGGGGGAAACCCUGAUCCAGCCAUCCCGCGUGUGCGAUGAAGGCCUUCGGGUUGUAAAGCACUUUUGGCAGGAAAGAAACGUCGCGGGUUAAUACCCCGCGAAACUGACGGUACCUGCAGAAUAAGCACCGGCUAACUACGUGCCAGCAGCCGCGGUAAUACGUAGGGUGCAAGCGUUAAUCGGAAUUACUGGGCGUAAAGCGUGCGCAGGCGGUUCGGAAAGAAAGAUGUGAAAUCCCAGAGCUUAACUUUGGAACUGCAUUUUUAACUACCGGGCUAGAGUGUGUCAGAGGGAGGUGGAAUUCCGCGUGUAGCAGUGAAAUGCGUAGAUAUGCGGAGGAACACCGAUGGCGAAGGCAGCCUCCUGGGAUAACACUGACGCUCAUGCACGAAAGCGUGGGGAGCAAACAGGAUUAGAUACCCUGGUAGUCCACGCCCUAAACGAUGUCAACUAGCUGUUGGGGCCUUCGGGCCUUGGUAGCGCAGCUAACGCGUGAAGUUGACCGCCUGGGGAGUACGGUCGCAAGNUUAAACUUAAAUGAAUUGACGGGGUCAUAGCUGUUU
rnacentral:rRNA from 1 species